GACGAACGCUGGCGGCGUGCUUAACACAUGCAAGUCGAACGGAAAGGCCCUGCUUUUGUGGGGUGCUCGAGUGGCGAACGGGUGAGUAACACGUUAGUAUCCUGCUCUUUACUUUGGGAUAACUUCAGGAAACUGGGGCUAACACCAGAUAGGAGCUCACGUUGCAUGGUGGGGGUUGGACAUUUUCGGCUGUUGGGGAUCGACUCGCGGCUUAUCAGCUUGUUGGUGGGGUAGUGGCUUACCAAGGUUUUGGCGGGUUGCCGGCCUGAGAAGGUGACCCGCCACACUGGGACUGAGAUACGGCCAAGGCUCCUGCGGGAGGAAGCAGUGCGCAAUAUCGCUCUAUGGGCGGAGGCCUGAUGCAGCACCGCCUCGAGCGGGAUGACGGCGUUCGGGUUAUAAAGCGCUAGCACCUGAGUCGAUGCUUGCGUGACGGUAACGGGUAAAGAAGCACCAGCAAACUACGUG
rnacentral:rRNA from 1 species